rnacentral:rRNA from 1 species
UACGGGAGGCAGCAGUGAGGAAUAUUGGUCAAUGGGCGCGAGCCUGAACCAGCCAAGUAGCGUGCAGGAUGACGGCCCUAUGGGUUGUAAACUGCUUUUAUGCGGGGAUAAAGUCGGCUACGUGUAGCCGUUUGCAGGUACCGCAUGAAUAAGGACCGGCUAAU